GCAAGCUUGCUCAAUAAGAAAAUCAUAUUAUUAAGUGACAGAAGCACUUUUUAGGAUUCACUGUGAUGAGCAUACUACAUUCAUUCAUUUGUGAAACUGUGCAUAUUACAAAGUGACAAAACAUACAUUAAAUGAAUUAAGACUGUUCUGGCUCUGAGAGGAGUUAAUAAUUGUCUACUAUGUAGUUGUGAUAUUUUCUAACAGAACUGCUUUCCUUUGGCCCAAACAGUAAUAUUUUUCUUUGUCAAACCAAACUGUUUAAAUAGCAAAGUCUAAAUAACAACAACAAAUUAACAUUGUCUUAAUGAAGUCUAUUAUGUCUUGGUUCCCCGGAAGGACCACAAGGUACACAGGAUGCCAUGCUGCCCCUUACUCCUGAACCAAAAGGACUUUUGACUGCAAAUCUUCCCUGCCUACCUUCUCCAUGAAGUAAAGACAGACUGGAGCAGCCAGCACAGACAGGACAGGGGUAUGAGGGUGAAAUUCAAUGGGAGGUUUGACUUCAGUGGGACCAGGAUUUCACUUUGAAUAUCAACAUGAGGAAAAAAUAUCUAAAAUAUUUAAACUGAUGGCAAUACUGUUCUUUAUGGCAUAGAAAACAUCUAUGGUAUUUGCUUUCAAAGUAAUUCAUUAUUAACGGUUUUUUCCUCUGCACCAGACAAAGAAAAAAAAUGUUUUACCUCAAUAUUUUCAACAGCUAAAUGGCAACAUGCUGCAAGCACUGCACGGCCAUCCUGGAAAUACCACUCUGCCAGUUCUUUACUGACUUUGUGUAGGAGCCUGCAAUAACAAAACAGGAAUUCUGCAAGAACAUUUUCAGAGUUAACAACUAAAGCAACAGUAACAGCUACAUGGGAGAGUGGAUUGACCUCUUGUGCUUUUGGCUCCUGGGUUUCCACAAAGUGGUUACAGCAAAGUGGAAGACUUGAAACCUAGGUGUAUUAACAUGAAAGCCCCAGUGUGGAUUAAUAUGUGCAGGACACUGAUUUUCAGGUACAAUCAGUUUUUAUGAAUUUGUGAGUUUUUCUUCAGAACUGGGGAACAGCAGCAAAUUUUAAACUGCUUAUUGUGCACAUCAAAUCUGCAUGAACAUUCACCUGCUUGCUAAAAAUAAAAACCUAUGAACAUAAAUCAUAUAUGCAAACACAAAUGUCUGUUUGCUCAGUUGUGCCAGUUCUACAUGCAGUUACAUGAUUAAUGCCUAGGAAUGCCAAUAAAGACUGGGUACAUGCA